CUGGGAAUUGCACUCAAAACUGUACGGCUAGAGUGUGGGAGAGGAAGGUAGAAUUCCAGGUGUAGCGGUGAAAUGCGUAGAUAUCUGGAGGAAUACCGAUGGCGAAGGCAGCCUUCUGGCCUAACACUGACGCUGAGGUGCGAAAGCAUGGGGAGCAAACAGGAUUAGAUACCCUGGUAGUCCAUGCCGUAAACGAUGUCUACUAGCCGUUGGGGGACUUGAUCCUUUAGUGGCGCAGCUAACGCAUUAAGUAGACCGCCUGGGGAGUACGGUCGCAAGACUAAAACUCAAAUGAAUUGACGGGGGCCCGCACAAGCGGUGGAGCAUGUGGUUUAAUUCGAUGCAACGCGAAGAACCUUACCUGGCCUUGACAUGUCCGGAAUCCUGCA
rnacentral:rRNA from 1 species